GAUGAACGCUGGCGGCGUGCCUAAUACAUGCAAGUCGAGCGAAUGGAUUAAGAGCUUGCUCUUAUGAGGUUAGCGGCGGACGGGUGAGUAACACGUGGGUAACCUGCCCAUAAGACUGGGAUAACUCCGGGAAACCGGGGCUAAUACCGGAUAACAUUUUGAACCGCAUGGUUCGAAAUUGAAAGGCGGCUUCGGCUGUCACUUAUGGAUGGACCCGCGUCGCAUUAGCUAGUUGGUGAGGUAACGGCUCACCAAGGCAACGAUGCGUAGCCGACCUGAGAGGGUGAUCGGACACACUGGGACUGAGACACGGCCCAGACUCCUACGGGAGGCGGCAGUAGGGAAUCUUCCGCAAUGGACGAAAGUCUGACGGAGCAACGCCGCGUGAGUGAUGAAGGCUUUCGGGUCGUAAAACUCUGUUGUUAGGGAAGAACAAGUGCUAGUUGAAUAAGCUGGCACCUUGACGGUACCUAACCAGAAAGCCACGGCUAACUACGUGCCAGCCGCCGCCGUAA
rnacentral:rRNA from 1 species